AGCAGAUACUAGAUAUCAUGGUUGUAUGCUUUGAUUGUUGUUUAUUUACGUAUUAUAUUGAACAUGCUGGCUUCAUGUAGCAUACCUAAUUUUCUGCUUAUAUUUGUAUGAUGACUGUUGCAUUUGGUGUAUCAUAUCAUGGCAGACAUGUCAACGAUCAAUUCUCCCUUGUGGUCGAGAGAGUCGUUGACCAGGGCCGCAUCCUCGGCCACUCGACAGAGUGAUAGCUGGAGUUGAUGUCGCUUGUCCUGUCGUGCUGCACUCGGCCACUUGCAGUUGGUGGUAGCUGGAGUUGCGAGCAGCAGGGACCCCCUUCGCUGUGUAGCUAGUUAGCUACUCAGCACAUGUCCAUCCGGUCACUUGAGAGAGUGGCAGCCUUUAAGUGGUAUAGUUGUCAUCGAUUCGACCUCUCGACCAUACAGGGGUCGUGGUGCAGAGAGGUGGGCGGGGUGACCAUCCGUGCAUACAUUGUUAUUAUACUUGCUUUGGCUGCUGCUGUUUGCAUAUGUUGUUGUUGUUUAUUCAUGUUGUUAUUGCUAACUUAUGCUGUUGUUGCUGACUUAUGCUGAUAUGCUUAUAUAUGUUGAGAUAUAUAUAUGUCUGUUGUGGGUGUUUAGACUGACUUACCUAUUGGAAGUUUGUAUAUUUGUAUAUACCUUACAUGUGUCCUCUGUUGUUAUGAGCAGUACUGUAGCAGAUUAGUACUACUUCUGAACUUCUAUAUCUAGCCUAGGAUAUGGUUUCAGGUAACAGGUAGAUGAGUCAUGAAUGCUUAGAGAGUUGUCGGCUGCCAGUUCUGGGUCCUACGUCACACUCGAGAAUAGUUUCUUUUUAGGUUUUGUUAUCGUUUGGGUGGUAUGUUGAUUUUGUGUAUUUUUGUUUUUCAAUAAGUUGUUGUGAAUUUUGGAGUCAAGUCUGGUUAUUGCAGGUAUUUCUAUUAGUACCGUUGUUGGUUUUAUGUUCGUAUUA